rnacentral:piRNA from 2 species
UGAUGACUUAUGAUGGUCUGUUUCCUCCC